AUACGGAGGAUCCGAGCGUUAUCCGGAUUUAUUGGGUUUAAAGGGUGCGCAGGCGGGAGAUUAAGUCGGCGGUGAAAUUUUGCAGCUCAACUGUAAAAGUGCCUUCGAAACUGGUUUCCUUGAGUGUAGAUGAAGUAGGCGGAAUUUGUGGUGUAGCGGUGAAAUGCAUAGAUAUCACGAGGAACUCCGAUUGCGUAGGCAGCUUACUAAACUACUACUGACGCUCAGGCACGAAGGCGUGGGGAUCAAACAGGAUUAGAUACCCUGGUAGUCCACGCAGUAAACGAUGAUUACUAGCUGUUUGCGAUACAAUGUAAGCGGCUGAGCGAAAGCGUUAAGUAAUCCACCUGGGGAGUACGUUCGCAAGAACGAAACUCAAAGGAAUUGACGGGG
rnacentral:rRNA from 1 species